AUUGAACGCUGGCGGCAGGCCUAACACAUGCGAGUCGAGCGGGGUUUUCGGACCUAGCGGCGGACGGGUAAGUAAUGCGUAGGAAGCUACCCGAUAGAGGGGGAUACCAGUUGGAAACGACUGUUAAUACCGCAUAAUGUCUACGGACCAAAGUGUGGGACCUUCGGGCCACAUGCUAUCGGAUGCGCCUACGUGGGAUUAGCUAGUUGGUGGGGUAAUGGCUCACCAAGGCGACGAUCCCUAGCUGGUUUGAGAGGAUGAUCAGCCACACUGGAACUGAGACACGGUCCAGACUCCUACGGGAGGCAGCAGUGGGGAAUAUUGGACAAUGGGCGCAAGCCUGAUCCAGCCAUGCCGCGUGUGUGAAGAAGGCCUUCGGGUUGUAAAGCACUUUCAGUAGGGAGGAAGGGUGUUGUGUUAAUAGCACAGCAUUUUGACGUUACCUACAGAAGAAGCACCGGCUAACUCUGUGCCAGCAGCCGCCGUAACAC
rnacentral:rRNA from 1 species